CCCAUUCUACACGCUAUGGAAUCUCUUCUGCGGGUUCAUGAUCCCAAGAAAGGUAUGGAGCGAAUGUCACCCCCAUGAUUUGCAUCUAACAAAACCAAUCAACAACUUCCAACCUAUGGUGGACUUCCAGUUCCGUUUCCGUUUGGCAAUCUAGGUAUGGUUGAGUCCUAGGGUGUUUUUUCCAGUGCAAGCCUUUUGGGAAAAUCAAGUAUGCUAGUAGGUCGUAUGAUCUUCUAGUGGAGAAUUUUUUGAAAUGCACAAUAUUGAAACCAAUAAUUGGUGCAUAUGACCUAAGAUUUGUUCUUAUUUGCACUCUAGAGUUUUUUUUUCUUAUUUUUUGAGAUAAGGGUUUCAUCAGCACGUAGAGUUGAACAAGCAAUUCCAUGCAAUAGGAAAACAUCACAUAAUUUUUGUGAUAGGGCAAGUUGGUUUUUUUUGAGGGAUAAUAGGGCAAGUUGGUGAUAGGUGGGCCCUAAUAUGUUUGACUAGCCUGUACAGAACGUGUCGGGCCAUAUGGGCUUUCAUACACUAGUAAGAUCAUCGGUCACUGUGCACACACAACCGCGUCGGCACUGGACCAUUGGGCUUGUCAAUUUUUCCUUUUCCUUCCAAAUAAAUAGGGUACUCAAUUCUUUUUAUCCAUGCUGUGAACCAGCACAACACAGGCACAUGGAUACGGUUUUGUAGUUUUGCCGAACAUUAAGAAAAACAAAUAAACAAAUUUAAGUAUAUUCAGCUUAGCAUGGUAGACACACUGCCUGUCUUGAUCUACACACUUGUACCUGAACAGAACAAGAAUCAUACACUUGCUAGUCGGCACCAUCCUGUUGUGUUUGGUUAACGAUUCCGUUACCAAAUAAUAAUGCAGCUGAUCCCGGUGUGGUGGAGGUGGUACUACUGGGCCAACCCGGUGUCCUGGACGCUGUACGGGCUUCUGACCUCCCAGUUCGGCGACCUGGAUCAGCCCCUUCUGCUGGCCGACGGCAUCAGAACCACCACCGUGGUGGCGUUCCUGGAGGAGCACUUCGGGUUCCGGCACGACUUCCUGGGCGUCGUCGCCACGAUGGUGGUCGGCUUCUGCGUCCUCUUCGCCGUCGUCUUCGCCCUCGCCAUCAGGAACCUCAACUUCCAGCGCAGAUGAUGUGCAUGAUCGGUAGCAGCAAAUGUACCCCGCCGUUUUAACUUGUCCAGUGUGCAUGUGUGCAAUCAAUUAAGAGCUCGUAAAUAAUUCGAGAGAGACAUUUGAAACAACAAGUGUAUGUAUCAUCAUGUAUAGCAAGCAAAGGCUUUGAGAUGUUUUGUUUGUUGAUAUUGAUACGGGCGGGGCGGACCUGCAUAUAUUCGUUGAGCAUUUGCCGCGUCCAGGAGCGCCGGUGCGUG
rnacentral:lncRNA from 1 species